GGUGGAAGGUGGGGGUGUGCUGGACGCGUGUUCCUGCCGCUAGGCGCCUGCUCCCCGCGAGGCGGGCUCUGGAGUAGAAAGAGGCCCAGCGCUAGCCAGCCCUCCCAGGGGACCAAGUCCUGCGCUAUCCGGCUUCCUCCAGUGGGCACCUGAAAGACCCAGGAACACUGCGUCAACACACUUGGCGGGGAACUGGACACAGAAGACUCCUGUUUCAAGAAAAUACAAUCAUCUCUCAAAGGCUGUAAUUUAUAUGCAUUUUAACUCACUAGGUAUUGAAAACCACCCAAGUGUCCCACAAUAGGGGGGUAAAAUAUAAUCAAUCACUCAGUGUAAUGUUAUACAUCCUUUAAAAAUGUUAUUGGAAAAUGUUUUAUGACCUGUAAGUCAAAAGAAUCCUCCCCCACCAUCUCUCCCUGCUGUUCCCCCCCAUACCCAGGCGUCUCUGUUCCAAUUGGCAUGUAAAGUUGGUGUUCCCGCCAAAUGAGUUAGUCAUGAUGGGAACGUCAAUUGAUUUGAGCAGAUGUGUGUCAAUGUUACUUGGAAAACUAGAUGCCAAUAACCAGGGCCAGAAAAAAAAAAAAAAAAGGCAGUGGUUGCAACUCUGUAAUGUUGAUGCAUGCACACAGACAAGGACUAAAGUGGAACCCCACACAGGAAAACAGUUGGAUAUACUCCAGUGCUGGGACAUUGGCUGAUUGUUUGCUGCUUUUGAUUUCCUUUAACACGGGCAAGUGUCUAAUUAAAAAAAACCUCAUAAGGA